rnacentral:rRNA from 1 species
GGCGGAAUGAAUAAGUCAGUGGUGAAAUCUCUCAGCUUAACUGAGAAACUGCCAUUGAUACUGUCAAUCUUGAGUAUAUUUGAUGUGGGCGGAAUGUGUCAUGUAGCGGUGAAAUGCUUAGAUAUGACACAGAACACCGAUUGCGAAGGCAGCUCACAAAACUAUAACUGACGCUGAGGCACGAAAGCGUGGGUAUCAAACAGGAUUAGAUACCCUGGUAGUCCACGCUGUAAACUAUGAUUACUCGAUGUGUGCGAUACACUGUACGCGUCUAAGCGAAAGCGAUAAGUAAUCCACCUGGGGAGUACGCUCGCAGGAGUGAAACUCAAAGGAAUUGACGGGGGCCCGCACAAGCGGAGGAGUAUGUGGUUUAAUUCGAUGAUACGCGAGGAACCUUACCUGGGCUUGAAAGUUAGUGACCGACUGUGAAAGCAGUUUUUCCGCAAGGACACGAAACUAGGUGCUGCAUGGCUGUCGUCAGCUCGUGCCGUGAGGUGUUGGGUUAAGUCCCGCAACGAGCGCAACCCCUAUCAUUAGUUGCCAGCACGUAAUGGUGGGAACUCUAGUGAAACUGCCCGCGCAAGCGGUGAGGAAGGUGGGGAUGACGUCAAGUCAGCACGGCCCUUACGUCCAGGGCUACACACGUACUACAAUGGCAAGUACAAAGGGUUGCUACAUGGUGACAUGAUGCUAAUCUCUAAAGCUUGUCCCAGUUCGGAUUGGAGUCUGCAACUCGACUCCAUGAAGCUGGAUUCGCUAGUAAUCGAAAAUCAGCAAUGCUUCGGUGAAUACGUUCCCGGGCCUUGUACACACCGCCCGUCAAACAAUGGAAGUUGAGAGUAUCUAAAGUCGAUAACCGCAAGGAGUCGCC